AUAUCUGUACCUGCUGGAUAAUAUUGCAGUUCAGCCUUUAAAAGAGGCAGUGCUUUUCUUAAUCCUCUGGCUUCCCCAGGCCACUGAUUCUGUUUGUUUCCUUCUUCAGGAUCUGUGAAUGCACAGAAGCUGAGGCAGAGAUAAUUCUGCAGCUGAAGAGCGAGCUCAGAGAAAAGGAAUUAAAAUUAACGGAUAUUCGGCUGGAGGCCCUCAGCUCUGCUCAUCAUCUUGAUCAGAUCCGGGAAGCCAUGAACCGGAUGCAGAAUGAAAUUGAAAUACUGAAAGCUGAAAAUGACCGGUUGAAGGCAGAAACUGGUAACACAGCUAAGCCUACUCGGCCACCGUCAGAAUCCUCAAGCAGCACCUCCUCUUCAUCUUCCAGGCAGUCAUUAGGACUUUCUCUAAACAAUCUGAACAUCACAGAGGCUGUUACCUCAGAUAUUUUGCUAGAUGAUGCUGGUGAUGCAACUGGACAUAAAGAUGGCCGCAGUGUGAAAAUUAUAGUCUCCAUAAGCAAGGGCUAUGGUCGAGCAAAGGAUCAAAAGUCUCAGGCAUAUUUGAUAGGAUCCAUUGGUGUUAGUGGAAAAACCAAG
rnacentral:sRNA from 1 species